GCCUGGCUGGGUCAGUUGGGGGAUCAUGCAGCUCUCUUGAUCUCAGGGUUGUGAAUUCAUACCCAAUAUUGGGUG
rnacentral:tRNA from 1 species